UUCAUGAGGGAGCGAUUUGAUGACCAUGACAGUUGCUGUGCUUAGAGCUUCUGAAUGUCAACUGAUGUGUGACUUCGGGCAAGAGGGGUUCUGGCCAAGUAAGUCAAGCAGAAAUUCAGAUUAUCAUGCAGUGAAGGAUUUUUUAGUAAUUUUAAUUAGAAGUUGCCAGAAACCAAAUUGAUGCUGCUUGUGUGGCUAAAACAGGUUUCCUGAUGGUUGUUGUUUUUAGCUAUUUGAAAUAAUACAGAAAAUAGACUAACAGAAUCAAUCAAAAGUAGUGUGACAGUGAGUUGAGAGUUAGUUAAAGGCAGUUCAUGCUUUCCUUUACCAAGCAGGCGAGCUAUUAGUUUAUUCCACCUUUAACACUAUAGAUAUAGGUGUGUGUCUAGUUUAACACUAUAGAAAUAGGUGUGUGUCUAGUUUAACACUAUAGAAAUAGGUGUGUGUCUAGCUUGGGGUGGACUAAGCUUGACAGAUUCUGAACUCUGGUUUUACUGUUGGGUGAAUUAACUGUUGUAUAAAGGGGAUAGGAGAUGGAUGGUUAUCACAUGUUUACUAUGCUUAACAUUUUGUUUGUUAGUGAGUGCUUGUUCCCCAUAAAAUACGCAAUUGGAUUUUGAUUCUUUGUUGUUGCAUCUGUAUUUUGUGUGGGUCAGUGUGACUCACAGACACACAGGAUGUUCACGUCUUUCUUUUUUUAAAGAGUUAAUUAUUUUUAUGUGUGACUGUUUUUGCCUGCUCCUCUGGAGCUGGGAUGACAGUGAGUCACCAUGUGGGUUCUGGGAACUGAACCUGAGUCCUGUGCAAAAGCAUCAAGUGCUGUUCGCUACAGAGCCUUCUCUCCAGCCUCCAGGAUGUGCAAAACUUGGCAUACGAUGAUGCUUCAAUGCACGUUUCCUUAAGAAAUGGUGAAUGCAGAAGUUUGGACCCCCAGUGUUUUAAGUAGUUGAUUCGACUUGCCUCUGUAAGUCAUUGGAGGUGAAUGGUCCACUUUGCUGUAAAUGUUCAAGUUUUAAAGAGGUUCAGAAUACUGGGGCUCAUUUCUUUGGCAUAUGUUUAAUACCUAUUCGUACAGUAGAAAUAUCUGCAAUAUUCAUGCUGGUUUGAGCAGUUUCUUUUUUUUUUUUGGGCAGUUUCUUAUUAUGGGAGUCUUUACAUAAAAAUAUGUAUAUAAAGAUUUGUAAGAAGCAUUUGAGCAGCUCAGUAAGCAGGGUUUUAUACUGUUUCCUUGGAAAUGUAAAAUGCUGUUGGUUAUGAUUAGAUCAACUGGAGGAAAAGGCAGUUGCUGAGCAGUCCCUCUGCAUAGUUUUGCCACCUUGGAUUUGUUAGUAGAAAUGCUGGCUUUCUCUUAAGCAGUCAGUAAAUAAUGGACAUAUUGGCAAGGAGUAUGCUCUGUUUUGAAAUCAAGUGCGUUCCUGGAGAUCUGGUUCUGAAAUGGGUCACGGUAAGGUGAUCCCUCUUCUUCAGACAUCAGUAGAAAUCAAAUGGGAGACAUAAAGUGCAUGUCUUUUUAUAGGGAGUGUUGAAUGCAGGACACUCAUUUCAAAGCCUGUAUUUGCUGUAGGCUUUAAGGAUUAACCAAGGUAGAAAGCAGCAGGUCAUCAAUGCUGUAGUUUUUCUGCAGGUAGGAUUUCAGAGUUAAUGUGCGUGGACUUUUCCCCUCUGCCCCAGUAGAAGGUGUAUUAAUAAGGCACCUUGCCAGAGUUGGGGUGUGUGUGUGAAUGUGAAAUAUUCUACUUGGGUUUUCAAUUUACUGGAUUUUUGGCUUUUUAAACAAAGCCAUUAUUUGAUACAUCUUAUGUUAAUUUUUAUGUUGUAAAAUAAACUAUCAUAUUCUUACCAUCUCCUUCCCCUUUACCCAGGGGUUAUGUUUUCUGUCUUCUUCAGUGGCUUUAGAAGAAAUACAUAGAAUGGUCAGAGGCAUUGGUCAAUGGAGACAGCUACAUUUUAGUUCAGACCAUUGUGCAUGGAAUUUACUAGAUGUCCUCUUACACCUGUGUUUAUCAGAACCUUGCCUGUCUGGUAGAUAAGAGGAAUUGUAGCUAUUACUUUUGAGUGUCUCCUGUGUGCCAAAUAGUAUGUGAAUCACCACAUACACACACACACACACACACACACACACAUAUACACACACUCUCUCUCUCUCUCUCUCUCUCUCUCUCUCUCUUUCUCUCUCUCUCUCUUUCUCUCUCUCUCACAUUACUUCAGUUAGGAUAUUAACACCAUUUUCCUGAGGCAACAGUUGAAUCUAAGGGAAGUUAAAUCAUAGCUGUGAGCCUAGGAGUUGGGUUUUUCAGCAACAACAUGUAACCUUAGAAUUUUAGUGACUUACCAUGAUUAGUGUAUGUCUUGGUCAUGUGCCUAUCUUGUCUUUACUGUAAGUAUCUUGUUCUGGGUCUGAGUGGGAAGAACAGCCAUUAUCUAACCCUACCAGACGGAGCUCCCACUAUAGCGGGAAGGAUGUAAAUGUCUAUAUACCGAGUUCCUCGUAUAAGAACGCAUCAAAGCUGUCUCACAGUUUGCUCAGGAGGCCAGACAGUGGGGGCGUUUACGCCCAGGGGCUCAGGUCUGGUAGGACUAGGGUUUGAUGGUAAGUCAGAGAAAGAACAGAAAUUCAAGGCCACCAAAGGCAGACCACGGUAAUGUGCAUAGGAUGACAUGUCCACUUACAUUCUAUGGCCCAAGCAAGUCAUGUGCCCAAAGCCUGAAGACUGGGGUGGAAGCUUGUCUACAGAGAAAGAUGACAAGGGCAGGGAGGAGAUAGAGCCUUAGGAGAGUGGGAGAAACAAUGUAAG